ACAACAUAUCGCGACAAAUUAGCAAAAUACGCUGUCGAAGCUGUUGAAAAGCAAUCUUUUGGCGUCGGUUGCCAUAGGCAACACAUAAUUUGUUCCGGUUCAUGGUCCGGCUGUGUUCUCACUGCAAACGAACCGCUCCAGGGUUCGUAUGGAAUCGAGCCGAGACCACCGCUUCUAGGCGAUCUCGGCUCUUUGAAUAGGCAGAUUUGCGGUAACUUUCUUUGACUGACAGAACCAUUUUUGCGCAUGUGCAGAACGGAACUGGCAGGCAGUACGGUUUGGUUCAGCUGUAAAUGUUCCCCUUAUCAGCUUAGCAAAAUAGACUGGAGAAAGAGUUUCAGAGUGCAAAAGGAGGGAGGUGGACCAGAAGGAGUUGACGGAGUUCAUCACUCAGGUGGAGUGUCUGAACAUGCCUGUGCAUUUCGUGAUGGAUCCUACCGCAGGGCUUUGUCCAGUCCUCCCCCGCCACUUAGCACGCGUUGGUUCAAAAAAUGUGAUCAAAGUUUGAAUAAAACAAAUGUGGCCAUA